rnacentral:rRNA from 1 species
UACGUAGGGCGCAAGCGUUGUCCGGAAUUAUUGGGCGUAAAGAGCUCGUAGGUGGUGUGUCGCGUCUGCCGUGAAAACCCGGGGCUUAACUCCGGGUCUGCGGUGGAUACGGGCAGACUAGAGGCAGGUAGGGGAGAACGGAAUUCCCGGUGUAGCGGUGAAAUGCGCAGAUAUCGGGAGGAACACCCGUGGCGAAGGCGGUCUCCUGGGGCCUUCUUGACGCUGAGGCGCGAAAGCUGGGGGAGCGAACGGG